UUAAGUUUUAGAUUCCAUUCAACCGGGCGUGUGUUUCAAAUUUUCACGCUCUCUUUUGCUCAAUAGGCGUUUGUUAUCAGACGAAAGAUGGACUUGCUCGGUAUAAUAGGAAAAUGUUCUUCAAUAUGGACAAAUCGUGAUAGAAUUACGAUAGAAAUACCAAUUAAGUUAUGAAUAGAAUAAGUACGAUAUGUAUGGCGUGAUAUUGAAAUUAAACUUCGAUGAAAUACUUAAAGGCAGUCAAAAUCAUGGCUGUCUUACAUCUACAAUUUUCUCAAGAUAUAAUGCAACGACAUUCAAGAACACGAAAGUAAAGACUACUUAUUUGCGAGUAACUUCAUUGUCUGAGGUUACAAAAGUGUCAAAAGCAAGUAACUCCAGAGUGGAGAAAAGCACAAACAGGUUGAAUGUUGAAGUACAAAGAGUGUCCUCUUUUACGACAGUAAAACGUCCAGUUAUUAAGAAGAGAAAUGAAGAUAAAGGUUUCAAACUAUUUUCCGGACCAAGUAAACCAAAACAUAAUGGAUUGACUUUAGACGUUUUGCAAUAAUUGACGCCAUUUAAAAAUGGCGUCGAUUUAGUAACGCAAGAGUCACGUGAUCUGUUGCUGAACUGCAUAAAACUACACCCAAGUGUUCACGAAGUAUUUUUUCCGGAAGUGACGAAAGAUCCCCGAAUAACCGACGAAGAUUUACGGGGAUUUCCGAUUCACAGCCUGGCGGUUGCAGUCAUUUGCGAGGCCAUUUCAAAAGGAGAUGAUCCGUACAAGUUUUACUGUAUGAUCGAAAAGAAUUACUUGGAAAGUGUGCUGACUGAACUGUAUACUAGCGUACAUUGGAAGAAAUUGGUGUUCUCCAUGUACUGCGCUCUGUACCCGUCCGUAGUGAGAGACGCACGGACGAACAUCAGUUUGCAAGACUUCAUUGACGAUGAUGGGCCGGAGUGGGCGGAGCGUAUUAUUGAGCGCAUGACGGAGCCCUCUUGGACGAUGGGAUGGGUGCAAAAAUAGUCCGCGGUCAUGUGACAGAGGAGGAAUACAACACGGCGAUGAACACACUGUUCGUGAAAUUGCACAUGUUGGACCCGCAGUCUGUCAUUCCGACCUUUCAUCUGCUGAAUCACAUCCGAGCUCUCCCGGAAUGCAACCUAGAGCUGGCCACCCGGGACUACCUCGGAGGAAUGCAACCUAGAGCUGGCCACCCGGGACUACCUCGGAGAAAUGCAACCUAGAGCUGGCCACCCGGGACUACCUCGGAGGCCCACUGGACGCUGCGGCACUCAGCGCGCAUGCGCGGACGGCCGUAACAACGGAGACCAUGCCUAGCAACGGCGCCUCGCGCAUGAGCCUCGACAAAAUCGAAGUUUUUUACAGCAUUGACGUCGAGGAGUUUAUAAUGACGGAAGCACGUAACGUCGGCGUAUGGAACGGGCGACGUCCCGACAAUAAAAGAACUAGUGACCUCCUGGAUUGAUGCAGCGUCAUGUAAUCUCGUGAUCACAUUCGGCGGUUUCCGGCUCUCGUCGAAAAAAUGCGCUUGCAUCCAGAUGUCGCAUCCGGAAAAAGCUCGCAUACCCUAUGGACUAAGCAUCAAUUGUUCGUCUGUGACAACGAAAUGAACAAACGCAUGCGUUAGUUGUGCCGAUGUUACAAAUACGUUUCGUUGAUUCGAAUGUUCUAUCUAUUGACGUCGAGGUCUGGAGGAAUUUAUACAAUUACACAUGUGUUUAGAUUUUGUGGGAGAAAAUAGCCAGUGUGCUUCCGUAUUGAAUGUAAUAUUGUUCAUUCGACUUAUUUUGUACCAAAAUCAUCAUGUGUGUCUUCUGUGAAUGUUUUAAUUGUUAAGCGUACAUUUUUGGUGUGAACAAAUGCGAAUAAUGCGGUAUCGAUGUAUAAGUUAUGCUAUUCACACAUUUUUGAAUGUAUGACAAGUAUUGAUAAAACAGUUCGUGUGUUAUACGUAACGAUUUAAUAUCAUACAUCAAUGACAAGCGAUAUUUACACGUGUUCGCUUCAACGCUUGUUAAUUAUGGUAGAUCUAAUAAGUCACAGGCUUAUCAGGGACGACAUGUUCCGCCCAAACUGGAUUCUCGCUAAGAAGAGACUUUCUUUAAACGAAAAAUACCAUAAAAGCGGAGACUGUCGUCCCUGAUUU